rnacentral:misc_RNA from 1 species
UUUCCGUAGGUGAACCUGCGGAAGGAUCAUUACCGAGUUCGCGCCCCCCGGGGCCGUCCUCCACCCUGUCUAUCCUACCUCUCGUUGCUUCGGCGGGUCGCCCCCCCUUCCGCGGGGGGCCCCGGCGCCUCGCGCGCGCCCGCCGGAGGACCACACACGAACCCUGUCGUAUACGUGCCGUCCGAGUAACAUAACAAUCGUUAAAACUUUCAACAACGGAUCUCUUGGUUCUGGCAUCGAUGAAGAACGCAGC